rnacentral:tRNA from 1 species
GGGUAGGUAGCAAAUCGGCAACUGCACCGGACUGUAAAUCCGGCGACUUACGUCACACUGGGGUCGGCACCCAGACUGCCCA